GACGAACGCUGGCGGCGCGCUUAACACAUGCAAGUCGAACGGAAAGGCCUGCUUUCCCUUGUGGAUUGCGGGUACUCGAGUGGCGAACGGGUGAGUAACACGUGAGUGAUCUGCCCCCAACUUGGGUAUAAGCCUGGGAAACUGGGUCUAAUUCCCGAUAGGACUGCAGGGUGGUGCCUGUGGUGGAAAACGAUUUUCUAGUGGUUGGGGAUGAGCUCGCGGCCUAUCAGCUUGUUGGUGGGGUAAUGGCCUACCAAGGCGGCGACGGGUAGCCGGCCUGAGAGGGUGGACGGCCACAUUGGGACUGGGAUACGGCCCAGACUCCUACGGGAGGCAGCAGUGGGGAAUAUUGCACAAUGGGCGGAAGCCUGAUGCAGCGACGCCGCGUGGGGGAUGACGGCCUUCGGGUUGUAUACUCCUUUCGACCGCGAGGAAGCCACCUGGUUGGAAGGGUGGUGACGGUAGUGGUAGAAGAAGCACCGGCUAACUACGUG
rnacentral:rRNA from 1 species